GCCGAAGCUUAGGCAGCAGCAGCAGCCAGUGGGCGCGAAGCCACUGCUAGUCGCAGCCAAUUGGAAGGCAAAAAGCUCUUCCGGGGAAGGCGGGCUGAAUUCCGUAGCCACGCCCCCGACACGAGCCUGGGGCUUCAGGGGUAUUGGGGGCCGAAUUUGGCCAGAGCAACGUGUGUUUGCUUGGAUUGGCUAGCGGGGCAGCGUGCGAGGUGCUGAUUGGUCGCUGGGAGAUGGAACGAUUUCGCGUGGGGUGUGAGUUAGUCCGAAGCUGGCCACCUGCGUGUGUAAGCAAGCUUGGGGGUUUGCCUCAGGCAGGGUGUCCUGUGGCAUUUAAUUGAGAAAGAACUUUACGUGGCGGUAAAUCCGGCUGGAAGGAAAAAAAAACACAAAGAGGCUGUAUAAGGACAGCGAGGGAUAGACUGGCUUAAAUUCGCGUGAAGAUUUAGUAUCGCGCGGCUGUACUAGUGAUCCCAGGGCCAAAAGUCAAAUAAGGAAGGAAGGAAACGCGCUCGUGAGAGAAUAAGGGCUCUUUGGCCUCCCGAGGUCUCUCACGACUCAGAGGCUUAUCCACAAAGUCGCUGCCACAGUGUGAAUUGACGUUUUGCCAAAUUCUUGUCUUCAGAUAAGGGAAUUCUGAAAACGACCUUGAAAGUAGAGAAGAGGAGGGUGCAGAUAGCUUUAGCAGCCUCGCAAAGGGUUCUUGUGUUCAUCUAUUUGAAGGUAGCCACAUCUGAGCCUGAUAGAGAGAACUUUGCAUCAGACGUCCUGGCCUGUGAGCUGCGUUUAGUCUCUGGAUGGGACUUUGAAGUCAUACUCCUCAGGGACAAAGGCGAGAGAGGGAACCAGGAGUCGGAACUCUUCCUCUUCAAGACCACGGGGUGUGGUCAGAGGGACUUCCUAGCUUGGCUGCAUAUCCUGACAAGAAGCCUGCAAAGGUCGUGUUCUAUAAGAAGCACUGUUCGCCUAACCCAUGCACUCUGGAUAUGAAAAAUUCUGAUUUUUCCACUACUUGCUGCCUAAAAAAUAGGUGGAAGCUUCUUUACCUGCAGGCUUCCUCUGGCUAAUUGUUCCAUGAGUGGCAGCAAUGCUGUGGUCUGACAUGAGAGAGCACAGGCGUCCAGCAGUGAGGAUGGAGGCAGAAAUGAGGUUUAAUUUUAUUUUUUAAUCUUUUUAGGGCCACACCUGUCACAUAUGGU